rnacentral:rRNA from 1 species
GACGAACGCUGGCGGCGUGCCUAAUACAUGCAAGUUGAGCGCUGAAGGAUGGUACUUGUACCAACUGGAUGAGCAGCGAACGGGUGAGUAACGCGUGGGGAAUCUGCCUUUGAGCGGGGGACAACAUUUGGAAACGAAUGCUAAUACCGCAUAAAAACUUUAAACACAAGUUUUAAGUUUGAAAGAUGCAAUUGCAUCACUCAAAGAUGAUCCCGCGUUGUAUUAGCUAGUUGGUGAGGUAAAGGCUCACCAAGGCGAUGAUACAUAGCCGACCUGAGAGGGUGAUCGGCCACACUGGGACUGGGACACGGCCCAAACUCCUACGGGAGGCAGCAGUAGGGAAUCUUCGGCAAUGGACGAAAGUCUGACCGAGCAACGCCGCGUGAGUGAAGAAGGGUUUCGGAUCGUAAAACUCUGUUGGUAGAGAAGAACGUUGGUGAGAGUGGAAAGCUCAUCAAGUGACGGUAACUACCCAGAAAGGGACGGCUAACUACGUG